rnacentral:rRNA from 1 species
UACGUAGGGGGCUAGCGUUGUCCGGAAUCAUUGGGCGUAAAGCGCGUGUAGGCGGUCCGGUAAGUCCGCUGUGAAAGUCGGGGGCUCAACCCUCGGAUGCCGGUGGAUACUGUCGGGCUUGAGUACGGAAGAGGCGAGUGGAAUUCCUGGUGUAGCGGUGGAAUGCGCAGAUAUCAGGAGGAACACCGGUGGCGAAGGCGGCUCUCUGGGACGGUACUGACGCUGAGACGCGAAAGCGUGGGGAGCGAACAGG